AAUCAACGCUGGCGGCGUGCCUCAGACAUGCAAGUCGAACGCUGCUGUUCGCCUUCGGGUGGACAGCGGAGUGGCGCACGGGUGAGUAACACGUAGGUAAUCUACCUUUGGGUGGGGAAUAACAGCCGGAAACGGCUGCUAAUACCGCAUAAUGCAGCGGCAUCACAUGAUGACAGUUGUUAAAGCGGGGGAGUCGUAAGACCUCGCGCCUGAAGAGGAGCCUGCGGCAGAUUAGGUAGUUGGUGAGGUAAUGGCUCACCAAGCCUGCGAUCUGUAACCGGCCUGAGGAGGGCGGUCGGUCACACUGACACUGACAUACGGGUCAGACUCCUACGGGAGGCAGCAGUCGGGAAUUUUGGGCAAUGGGCGCAAGCCUGACCCAGCAACGCCGCGUGAAGGAUGAAGUUUCUCGGAAUGUAAACUUCAUAAGAAUGGGAAGAAUAAGUAGGGGCUAAUACCCUCUAUGAUGACGGUACCAUUUGUAAGC
rnacentral:rRNA from 1 species